UACGUAGGCAGCGAGCGUUGUUCGGAGUUACUGGGCGUAAAGGGUGUGUAGGCGGUUUUCUAAGUUUGGUGUGAAAUCUCCCGGCUCAACCGGGAGGGUGCGCCGAAAACUGGGAGACUAGAGGUGCGGGAUGGGAGAGUAGAAUUCCUGGUGUAGCGGUGAAAUGCGUAGAUAUCAGGAGGAAUACCGGUGGUGUAGACGGCUCUCUGGACCGCCACUGACGCUGAGACACGAAAGCGUGGGGAGCAAACAGG
rnacentral:rRNA from 1 species